rnacentral:tRNA from 1 species
UAGGAAAAAUAAUAUAAAAGGGAAGUAUGGAGGGGUUUUGAUCUCUUUUUGUGUAGGGUUCGGAUUUCCUACUUUUUUCUAA